GUCGCUAGCACGUUAUUUGCCGGGCAUGAAACUCAUUCUCUCUUUGAGUUCUGGCAUAAAUAAAUAACUUAUGGAUGUUUUUCCUUUUAACAAAUCAAUAAAAGUUUUAUGUUAAAAGUUAAUUGUAUUAUUUUUAAUUCAAAUAAAGUUUAAUAAAAUGUAGUUGAGUACGCCUAUGAGUCUAACCUGAAGUUAGCCGUUCCUCUAAUUUGAUAAUUCUACACAGUUAUCUGUUAUAAAUCGACUCAGAUGAAUAUUCUAUUAUUUAGAUGUACAAUAUAAGGAAAAUACUAGAAAAUUAUGUCAAUUUUAUAUGAUAUAAUCAAGAAGUUCUAUUUCUGUGGAAGGAUUACAUAUGAUACAUUGAACAAAAUUUAAUUAUACUACACAAUUCAUAUUAUUUCUACGGAAAAGGAAUCUUAACCUCACAAAUCAGGAAUUUUAUCCAUUAUCAACAAAGCGCUGGAGGAGAGACAUGAGUGGAUAAACAUCGGAGGAACAUUAAUCAACAAAUUAAGAUUCGCCGAUGAUACUGCUAUACUGCCUGAGAAUGAAGAAGAUCUUCAAAUACCAUUAGAGAGAAUCAAACAGUUUCAAAGAGAGUGUAAAAAUGUAGGACUCACUAUAAAUAUAGGAAAAAUACAAGUUCCUUGAUUUAGUCAUAAACGAUCAAAUGGAUCCAGACGAAGAAAUCAAGUUCAGAAUUGAAAUGGCUCGAAAAUCAUUUGUCAAGUACUCCUCAAUGUUUGCAAACAGAAAUAUAAACCUCCACGUCAGAAUAGGAUUCAUGGAAUGUUAUGUGCGGUAAACACUGCUGUACGGAGUGGAAACCUGGACUUGUAAUGCUCAAAUGAUAAAAAAACUUGAAGCAUUUGAGAUGUGGCUCUAUAGAGGCAUUCUGAAUAUACCCUGGACUUAUAGAAUCACCAACGAUAAAGUACUAAGACGCAAUGGUCGCAAAAGAAAGCUGUUGACAAUUAUCAAAAUAAGAAAAAAAUCUUACAUAUGACACAACUUACGUAAGGACAAGUACCUACUGCUACAGAACAUAAUGCAUGGCAGAUAAGAGGGAAAGAAAGGCAUCGGCAAGAAAAAGAAAUCCUGGCUCCGUAACACAAGAGAAUGAACAAAUCUCAGCCUCGAAGAAUUGUUUCAUGUUGCGAGAGACAGAGACGCAUUUAAAAACGUGGUCGCCAACCUUCAAUGAGACGACGGCAUGAGAAGAAGAAGAAGAAAAAUAGGUUUUAGGUUAGAAAGACGAGUCAAAUACAGUUUAGUUGGACCCUUUGUUGAAGUAGUGGAUGGAGGUUGAAGUAGCAAAUGGACACAUUUGCAAAAAACAUGAGUCAUCAAAGCUUAUUUUUCGGAAUAUUAGUGGUAUUGUUACGCUCAUUUGAUGUUGAUGGAUAGUCCAUUUUGAAUUUUUGCAAAAAAAAUUUCUCCUCGAAAAUAUAUGCAAAAGUAUGAAAGUAUGAAUUACGUCAUCUAAACGUAGGUUCGUUUUCGGGUGAAUAUUUAAAUUGUCAACUUACAUAUUUUUCCGAUAAAUUACACUGUUUUACUUCUUUAAUAUAUUUGUGGUCCAUUAUACAUGCAAUUCUUUAAAAUGAAUGCAAAAAUAAAAUAUUGCAUGUUGCCUAUCCAAGUGAAGGGAAUAUUUCAUCUGAAAUCUCCACUGUUGAAAAUCAUCAUACUUACAGUAGUAUAUAUUUGCUCUCUGACAAAUAACUAUGAUAAGAUAUUCAAGUAGGGUAAGUAUUUAGCUAUAAAUAAUACAAUAAAGUAACAGUAGCCAUUUUGUUUUGAUUAAUCUGGAGUUUUUGUUUUGUAGCGCGUCAGAUUACUGGUCAAUUCAAUAGAGUGUUUGUAUUGAUUGACAAAAUUGAUUAUAUCUCAAUAAAUGGACGAUUUUUCAAAAACAAAUCAUAUAAGAAGGUCUAAGAAGUAAAAAGAGGAAUUCCAUUAUUCGAAACUGUGGACUUCCUCUGUUAGUAGUUCACUAAGGAAGAGUACUGCUUUCUUCUUUCCAGCUUCAACGGACUCAAAUCUAGAUUUCACCUAAGGCAACAAAUAGAAAUUGCAUGGCGCAAAAUAGCUGAAAAGCUCUUGAGGAUAAUGCGAAACCAAUGACCUCUACUUCCAUGUUUCGUGUCCCUUUCCUUUAUUUAAUCAAAAAUAUGACAGUAUUAAUGUUGAUUGAUAGCUCGACCUUCUAUAAACCAACAAAGGUACAAAAAAGUACACUUUCGCAUGGAUAUCGAAAAAUAAAAAAUAAUCGUCAUUGAUUCGUUCAUGAGGACGAGAUCUUUCAUUACAUGGAUUAUUGCUUUGUUUUAGGAUCAUAAGUAAACAAUCAGGAUCAAAUUUUUAUCAAUUUCUACUGUUAUAGCUAUUGCAUAAUUACUUAAUCGACGGUUAUGAUUGAAAUUACUGUUUUGGUAUGGAGGAGAUACCCGGACAAGAAUUAUUUAAUACGACUUUCAUUUCAAAAACCAAUUUUAUCGCAAGAUACGGAAAUGCAAAAGAACAAAUAAUACAUAGAGUUACCAGUUUUGAAUAUCGGGCAGUCAUUUUUGCAGAAAAUGAAAAAAUAGAUAUAUAGAUAACGAGUAAAGUAAGAAAAGCAAAUCAAAUAUAAUACGCUCUGAAUAAGACAAUUUUCAGGAAAUAACAAAUAGCCAAGACAAAAUUAAAAAACUUUAAUAUAUACAGAAAUGCUGAUUUGUUUACUGUAGCUGGAGGCAUUAUAUUCGUAAUAGAAUAUUGUAAG